CUCGUGCUAAAAAGAGUCCUACAGGGUCAAGUAUUUUCAGACAUCUUCUCGACACAUAUAUCUUAUUUACUUUAUGCUUCCUGUGAGCAGGUAAAUACAAUUAGUUUCUUCUAAUAUACAUUCUUUGUUUUAAUUUUUCAAAUACCUGCAUGUAGAUAAAAUAUAGACCCUUGGAGCGGAUAGACAGAGCCCGGAUUCAGAUUUAUAAACUGGCAUAAAUCUGAUGAUAGCAUCAUAUAUGUAAAGGUGACGUAUAAGUAACUCUCCUUUCUUUGCUUUUGCAAAUUGUUUGAUUUUAGUUUACUUUUCUUUAGCUCAGGUAGCUCAGGAAUGAUUUUAAAGUUGGAUAGAUUGUAGCUGUUGUGGCCGACUUUUCUUUAGCUCAGGCAUACUGUUGAACGACUUCUUAAUCAGACGUUGAUAUGUUAGUGGCAUGGUUUGUGCUCAGUUUAUAUGUUAGAUUUAAAAGUAUUAUUGUCCUGAGCUAUAAGUAAGUAAAAAUCUUUUGUGGUUCACAGGCAUGAAGUGUUAGAUUGCAGUCAUCAUAAGUGAUAUAAAGAGACGCUCAGACUGAGUACCGAGACACACAUAGAGAGAUGAAUUUUAACGACAAUGACAUCACAGAUCAUAAGGGCCAGAAGACCAAUGAGUUAGU
rnacentral:lncRNA from 1 species